GGAAAAUCCAGACAGAAAUGUUUACUGGCUGGAGCAACUUCAUGAACCAGGGACACUGGAAGGCUGGAUAUGCAAUAGUCACUCAUCAGGAGGUCCUAGAAGCAGAAGCCCUCCCUCCAGGGCUGCAGUGUUGGAAUACUCAUUCAGAGACUGUGAAGCCUCCGCGGGAGUCCAUGUGUGAACUUGGUUGCCACCACAGCAUGUCUGCUCCUUCAGGAACCUAACCCAGGCUGCAGAAGUGGAGGAUGUCAAACUUAAGAACUAGGCCACAGGGCCGGCCCCUAUCUAAUACUUUGUUUAUGAUGCAAAGUCUAAAUAGAUUCAAUCAAAUUUUUUUUUCUUAUACAUAUAUUAAAAUAAUAUGUUAAUUUUUGAGAAAGAGAAAAAUGAUCUCUGAC
rnacentral:lncRNA from 1 species